rnacentral:rRNA from 1 species
UACGGGGGGAGCAAGCGUUGUUCGGAUUUACUGGGCGUAAAGGGCGCGUAGGCGGCCACCGCAAGUCGACUGUGAAAUCUCCGGGCUUAACCCGGAAAGGUCAGCCGAUACUGCGGGGCUAGAGUGCAGAAGGGGCAACUGGAAUUCUCGGUGUAGCGGUGAAAUGCGUAGAUAUCGGGAGGAACACCAGUGGCGAAGGCGACUACCUGGCCUGUUCUUGACGCUGAGGCGCGAAAGCUAGGGGAGCGAACGGG